rnacentral:lncRNA from 8 species
GUGAUGGGGGACCAUAGAAUGAAUUCAUUCUAUUUCUAUGUGGGGGACAGCUACAAUGCAGACAAUGAGGAAGCGAAAACAGCGCAAUCAAAAUCGUAGGAUUCAGAACAGGAGAUAGAAGAUAAUAUUAGCCCUGUACAAACAGGUCAUGGAGAGACUACAGGCAGUAGUACUCCUCAGAUGUCCCCGGUUCCACAGAGGAUGUUGUGGGUUAAGAGGGAGACACCAACCCCUUCAAGACCUGUUGAGUUCCCUAAAGUCACAUCAGGUCUACAAGAUGGCUGGCUCACUGUCUGAGAGAAUCAGGGGUCUACAAGAUGGCCGACUCACUGAGAGAAUCAGGGGUCUACAAGAUGGCCGACUCACUGUCUGAGAGUGACAGACCGACAACAACAACUGCUCUAUUGCCUCUGCUCUCCCACAGAAGCCAGGCCCUGCCUCUGGAGCCGACUUCCCUGGUCUGUCACACCUCCAGCCAACUCACUGCACCACCACUGUUUCACCAACAGAGGGAAGCACUACAACACAUUGCUACCCAGCCUGACAGACACAGUAUAGUACAUGAAGGCAUGCCCUGUGUGGAUGUGACUGAGUCUGAUGUAAAGGACUGUGUGACCCACCCCCCAGAACUCAGCCAGCCCGGCUGACUGGAAAAGGAUCACUGGAUAUUACGUAGAGAAGCCCAGGAGGAUGCUUCAUGGACAGGCGGGGGAGGAGAAUGUUAAUGCAACUAAAUUAAUACAACUUUUUUCCCAAAACAAUUAUCCACUAGGUGGCACCAAACACAUUUGCAACUCAUUAGAUUCAGCAGGUUGCUUGAAAGAUGCUGCUAUAACGUAAGGCACAAUUAUACGUUCAUUGAACACUAACUACUCAACCGUGUUGAAUGUCUCAAUAUAUUGUUUUGCUUGUUUUAAAGGAGUCAUUUAAUUGGUUUAAAUUAGUUCCCUCAACCUCCCUGUCCUAAAGUGUGUUUCUCAUCUGUGUUCCAACGAGCUGAAGAUAUUCUGGCACCCAGUGCCUCCCAAGUUCAGCUGCUUUCAUGCCUUCGUCAAACACAAACUCUUUCCAGGUAGUGUAGUACUGAGCCAUGUACCAGGUAGUGUAUUACUGAGCCAAGUUCCAGGUAGUGUAUUACUGAGCCAAGUACCAGGUAGUGUAGUACUGAUCCAUGUACCAGGUAGUGUAUUACUGAGCCAAGUUCCAGGUAGUGUAGUACUGAGCCAUGUACCAGGUAGUGUAUUACUGAGCCAAGUUCCAGGUAGUGUAGUACAGAGCCACGUUCCAGGUAGUGUAGUACUGAGCCAUGUACCAGGUAGUGUAUUACUGAGCCAAGUUCCAGGUAGUGUAGUACUGAGCCAAGUUCCAGGUAGUGUAGUACUGAGCCAAGUUCCAGGUAGUGUAGUACUGAGCCUCUGAUGUUUGUAGAUGGACAGGCUACUUCCCUGCCAGACACAGUCAGUCCACUGGAACAGUUACAGGCAGACUUAACUGCAGACAUCUCCAUCUGUUCAGUGUUUUAGUUGAGACGUGAUGGGGAACAUUGGAGAUGCUCUUUGAUCAUUACAUUACAGUAUGCCUUACUACUCUGACAGUUAGAUGACAUUUACAAGGACAAAUUGAUCAUGCCGUUUUAACCUGGUGAAAUAGAAUAUUUUUGAAUAUCAAAUAUCUUUGAUAUAUUGGGAGCUUUGAGUCCUAAAAAUGGCAAAUUGCAAAUUGCAAUUUAACCAGUUAACCAUACCUCACCAAUGUGAUCUCACCCUAUAUAUCCUACUGCUGUGUUUCUAUGGUGUUUGUUACUUAGGCAAUCCGGAAUGACCAGGGAGGAGCUCUAUGGUGAUCUGCAGAACCUGAAGGAAUCAGCCUGUGAAUGACCAGGGAGGAGCUCUAUGGUGAUCUGCAGAACCUGAAGGAAUCAGCCUGUGAAUGACCAGGGAGGAGCUCUAUGGUGAUCUGCAGGACCUGAAGGAAUCAGCCUGUGAAUGACCAGGGAGGAGCUCUAUGGUGAUCUGCAGAACCUGAAGGAAUCAGCCUGUGAAUGACCAGGGAGGAGCUCUAUGGUGAUCUGCGGGACCUGAAGGAAUCAGCCUGUGAAUGACCAGGGAGGAGCUCUAUGGUGAUCUGCGGGACCUGAAGGAAUCAGCCUGUGAAUGACCAGGGAGGAGCUCUAUGGUGAUCUGCGGGACCUGAAGGAAUCAGCCUGUGAAUGACCAGGGAGGAGCUCUAUGGUGAUCUGCAGGACCUGAAGGAAUCAGCUUGUGACCUGACAGAGAUGGAGCCAACCAACUCAUUGUUCAGUGUGGUGUUCAGUACCCC